rnacentral:rRNA from 1 species
AGCUCCAAUAGCGUAUAUUAAAGUUGUUGCAGUUAAAAAGCUCGUAGUUGGAUCUGUGGUGUGUGGUGGGCUCCGGGCACUUGUUGUCUGAGUAGCUCGCCGCUGCCAUCCUUGGGUGGAACCUGUGUGGCAUUAGGUUGUCGUGCAGGGGAUGCCCAUCGUUUACUGUGAAAAAAUUAGAGUGUUCAAAGCAGGCUUAUGCCGUUGAAUAUAUUAGCAUGGAAUAAUGAGAUAGGACUUUUUCGCUAUUUUGUUGGUUUGCGCGAAGAGGUAAUGAUUAAUAGGGACAGUUGGGGGUAUUCGUAUUCCAUUGUCAGAGGUGAAAUUCUUGGAUUUUUGGAAGACGAACUACUGCGAAAGCAUUUACCAAGGAUGUUUUCAUUAAUCAAGAACGAAAGUA